CGGGGCGGGGGCGUGGAGGGGGCCGCCCGCGUGGGGUCGGCUGCGGCCCGGCAGAGUUGGCGCGCGAGGGUGUGGAAGCCGAGAGGUGAUCCUGCCGACCGCACCGCGGACGCGUGCGGGACGCUGUCCCCUGUCUACUCCGCGCUCCCAGGUGCCCGUGAUGAAUGACACAUCGAUCAACCCAUAGUCUUCAGACAUUGCCGUGUGAAGCCAAUGAAAGAUAUCUGCUGGUAACCAAAUGAUGAUCUUAUGAAAAGACCGCGGGGACUAUGAGCUAUCCUGGGGUUCCACGUGCCAGAGACAUGAAGAAAGCAGAGCGGUCCCAGAGAAAAGUGACCGUGGAGGAGGAGCUUCCGCCAGAAGUGAGGGAAUAGGGGAAGAAGUUCACAUUUGUAAGUAAUUGCAACAGCUGCCAGUAAAUAUACUGUCUUUCAGGGAUGUGAGUUGAUAAUAAAGCCAGGCAGCUGACCCAAGCUCCCCGGGCAGCAGAACAGAGGGGAGGCAGCGUCCUUUAUUAAAAUACAGCCAGGGUGUUCGAGGUUAGGCAUCAGGAGAAACUUAUUGAAGGUAAACCUUGUCCAUUUCUGAAGGCAUCAGCACCAUAGUGUGAGUUUGAGGCAUUUUAAACAAUGGAAUGGAAUAGAAUGAGGUUAGCUUGUUUGGAGACC